AGACUGCACAAUAACACAAAAUUCUAAUUAAAUAUACUCAGAAGCCCUCUAGCAGUCAAACGAUUUUAUUCAGAAAUGUUUUCAAUACUCUUAGCGUCUUCGUCAGCUACAGUCUGUUUUGAACCUUUAUUGUAUUACUAAUUUAUAUACUUCUUUAUCCAGAGUCACAAAAAUAUUUGCUUAGGUAAAAGAGGCACCAAAUGGAAAAGUUUGAGAAGACCUGUUCUAGGCUAAUGUUUACAUCAGUAACACAUCCAGUAUUGCAUUUACAAUGUCAAAGAAGGUUUUUAUGUUGAGAAUAGAAAAUUAGAUAUGCAAUGUUUUUUUUGGCAUUUUGAGUGAAAUAUUCAUCAAAUUUCAAUAUUUUAUAAAAUGCUCAGAAUAACAUGCUGAAGACAUUUGUAAUUGAAAAUAUUCUUCUAUCUGUUAUGGUUUCAGGGUUUAAACUUCCAUUUUCCCUAAUUUACAUGUUCAAGGUCAUUCUGACCGGACUAUUUGAAAGGUCACUCAUGACUUUAUAUUUGUUUGCAUUAACAAAUUUAACAUAAUUCUAACAGUUAGUAAUUUAUUGGGGAUGCAAGAGACUUGGUUCACCCUGUAUAUAAUAGCUAUCAUGAAUCAUAUACAAUAUAUCAUCUUACAUGCAGCAUUGAAGAUGGCACUUUCAAUAGUCAUGAUGUUACAAGUACUCAGCAUAGUUUCCUAUCUUCCACAUUUCAAUGUUUUUCAAGCUGUUUUCUAUAGAGUUCCCACUUAUAUAAUUUCAAAAAUUAUAUACGAAAAUGAUUACAGCACAAAAGUAGGAAAAAACGUAAGUUUUUUC
rnacentral:lncRNA from 1 species